GAUGGAACUAAGAAGCUAAUAGAAAGUAUGUAAGGAAGUGUUUUUAACACUGGCAGUAUAAGUGAUCUGAAAGAUCCCUUGAAUCUUUGAUUUUUUAACUCGCAUAAAGUUAGUUGUUUUACAUCGGUUGGUAACGCGUUCAUUUACGGUUAACUCUACCAAUGUCCAUCACCCUCGGAAGGUAAGGACGCGACGUGGAGGUAACGCUAUAGACGUUCCUGCGUGUUCAACUUUUACUGUUCGGUCGACGUUGACUGAAGGGGGGCAUAUCGAUGAUAAUUUCAUUGUUCCGAGCUCGCAUUCGCCGAUGGAGUUGAUCGAGUUAACAGAAAAUCGACCUAAACGUUGCAUCACAGCUUUUAGUCAGAGACGCGAUACUCGUAGAGCGAAAGAGAGGAAAGCCAGAAGCGGCGGAAAGAGGAAGGCGGGAAGAGGGGUCUAAAAAUAUUGUCUACUGCUCCAAAUGGGCGGUCACGCGCUCAUGUGUGACAACCUCAUCUAUUGCUCGUAAAGGUGAUUCGAUGGAGAAGGCCGAGAAGCGAGAGAGAAAAAAAAGUAAUUCGCGCGUGUGUCACAUCCUCGUUCUUUUUUGUUUCAUGUUUCGUGUCGUAUGCGUGCCUAUCACCGUUUGCAUUGAUACGAACGAUAGAAUGACGUUUCACCCUUAAUCGAAUAUUCUAAUAAUUCUACAUAAGAGUAGACAAUGUCACAUAAUUCUAAGUUUAUUCUUCUUUGUGGAACCGAUGUAAUAGUUGCUGUAACUUCUGAUAGUUCGAUUACUUGUCAUUGUACACGCCUUUGACAUACAGAGGGCCCGCAAAACGAAUAUCAUUAGGGCGCUAAUUGAGCAAAGUGAAACGAGCCGUGAUCAUAGAGAAAGUUCCACCCUGGAACGUUGAAAAUAAUCACCUAGACGACUGCGAUAAUUAAUUCCAUUGAGGUCGAACGAUCAUGAUUAAUAGAACGCAGGGAAUCGAAUGGUGCUAUUUGCUCUUGGAUGAGUUCGAGUUAAUACGUAUAUGUAUGUAGGAUCUAUUCGUCUCUACUUAUCGCCAUCUUUGUCAGGGACGUGUAAUGUUUUACGGAUGGAAGACGAAGAGGAUUGUUAGCGGCUUGUUACCGGUGCUCCCGCUGACAGAAACGCGUUCUAUUGUCUGACAAUCGGUCGUGUAAUAGCCAACAGCCGAGAAACCGCUAGAACUCGUGUUCGAUCGAUGGAGAAUUUCCUGAGAAACUGAUCCCUCGGUCUAACGCUCUUUGGCGCGAUGGAACUUCCAUUCGCGGAAUUCUGAAGAUUGUCAAUCAAGCUUUCCCAGAGAUUUUAUAAUACGAGUUGAUUUCGAGGAGAGCUGGCCUGCACUGUCCGUACCGAUACUUCAUUGUCGUAUCGAUUUAUCGGCUAAACGUGCUCCGUUACCGGGGUCGUAUGUCGUUUUCAGUUCGGCCAAAUGAAAAACGUGCCUCCUGCAAAUAUUCCCGAUCGAGGCGUAUUAAUGUUGUUCCAUCCUACGAGGCGACGUCAUAAAGGUUUUUGAAGAGGAUUUCAAAGUUAUCCACCGAAGAGUCUCAGGACUGUAAGAAAUUAAGCGGAUUUGUAUAAAAGAGAGCAUGCAUAAACGCGAGUAUCUGGAAGGAAUAAAAACGUCGACCCUAAUCGACUCGCAUUUAUUUUCCUACGGCUCCACAGAAUCUGGAGAAUUUUCCUCAAAUAAUUCCGUAUACUUGUUCACUUUAUUUUUGAUUUAUCUAAUCCCGAUAACGCUUAUGGCAAUGGUAACAUGAUAAUUGUACCUAUUAAUUUAUCUAUGUUAUCUAUAGAAAAUGAUGUUAUGAAAUCGUUGACAUAUGAUAAAGCGAUAAAAAAAUAUGAAAAAAUACUGCAUGAUGCACGUUACGUGAUUACAGCUAUUAAAUAGUACAGAAGAUAUUAUAAAAUGCCUCCAAGAAUGUAGAUCCAUCGAUACGAAUAAAAGUUCGGUUCGUCGAAACGUCGAGGAGGAAAGUUCUUGUCGCGUUGGCCAACAGGGAGAGGCUCGCGAUAAAGUAGAAUUCUCCACUUCGAGGCUGAAUGAGAAUUCAACAAGUGUCGGGUACGGAGGCUCGAGGGAAUAGAGGCUUCUGGCGUAACUUUCCAUACAAGGGAGUAUUGCUUCUACAAAGGCAGCCAUUAGAACUAAUUCAAUGUAUAAACAUAUCCUACUGGAGGACUGCCACCCAUAUUUUUCUUUUUUUAAACGCGUAGUGCAGCCAUCGACUGAGCCCAUAAUCUCGCACAACUUCAAAAGGGUGAAACGAUCGCGUCGCGAUUGUUACAGCAAUCAAAGCGAAACCAUCACAUGGGGGAUCUUCUGACGUCAUAAACGCGUGGCCACGUGGACUCUGUUUGGAGUGAGAAGACCUCGAACAUUCGUCGAUCGA